ACUAGCAGUAAGAGUUGAUCAUGGCUCAGGACGAACGCUGGCGGCACGCCUAACACAUGCAAGUCGAACGGCCCCUUCGGGGGCAGUGGCGGACGGGUGAGUAACGCGUGGGAACCUGCCCCUUGGUUCGGGACAACCCGGGAAACCCGGGCUAAUACCGGAUGCGCUCCUGGCUUUGGCUGGGAGGAAAGAUUGAUCGCCGAGGGAUGGGCCCGCGUCGGAUUAGGUUGUUGGUGAGGUAACGGCUCACCAAGCCUACGAUCCGUAGCUGGUCUGAGAGGAUGAUCAGCCACACUGGGACUGAGACACGGCCCAGACUCCUACGGGAGGCAGCAGUGGGGAAUAUUGGACAAUGGGCGAAAGCCUGAUCCAGCAAUGCCGCGUGAGUGAUGAAGGCCUUAGGGUUGUAAAGCUCUUUUACCCGGGAUGAUAAUGACAGUACCGGGAGAAUAAGCUCCGGCUAACUCCGUGCCAGCCGCCGCGGUAAUAC
rnacentral:rRNA from 1 species